rnacentral:rRNA from 2 species
AGUGGACGCAUCACUGGUGUUCGGGUUGUCAUGCCAAUGGCACUGCCCGGUAGCUAAAUGCGGAAGAGAUAAGUGCUGAAAGCAUCUAAGCACGAAACUUGCCCCGAGAUGAGUUCUCCCUGAGACUAUAAGUCUCCUGAAGGAACGUUGAAGACGACGACGUUGAUAGGCCGGGUGUGUAAGCGCAGCGAUGCGUUGAGCUAACCGGUACUAAUGAACCGUGAGGCUUAACCUUACAACGCCGAAGCUGUU